UAGAAUUCGACGAAAUCAUAUAUUGGAAGAUGCUUUCAGUCAGAUGAGUGCAUUGUCUGAAGUUGAUCUUCAAGGAUCGAUACGUGUGUCUUUUGUUAAUGAAUUUGGAGUUGAGGAGGCAGGAAUUGAUGGUGGUGGUAUUUUUAAAGAUGUCAUGGAGAACAUUACACGGGCAGCCUUUGACGUGCAGUAUGGUUUAUUUAAGCAAAUUGCUGACCAUUUGCUCUACCCCAAUCCUGGUUCGGGAAUGAUACAUGAGCAACAUCUCCAGUUUUUCCAUUUCCUCGAAGUUCUUUUGGCAAAGGUCAUGUUUGAAGGAACUCUUGUUGAUAUACUUUUUGCAACAUUCUUCUUGAGCAAGUUAAAACAGAACUUUCAAUAUCAGGUUCACUGGACAGCUUGGAUGUUGAUGACCUACGGACACAUACUACUUAUUCAAGUGGUUAUCAUAGGGAGCAUUAUGUCAUUGAGAUGUUUUGGGAAGUUAUCAAAAGUUUCUCAGUGGAAAACCAAAAGAAAUUUCUGAAAGACUGGCAGAUGGUUUAAGUAGCUUUAAAACAAGUAGAAUAAAUCUUAUUGAUUUACCUGGUUCCGGAGGCAGAAGCUAACAGGUGCAGCUGGGGAGCGCUUGAAGGAAGCACGCAAUAUCAACCGAUCACUCUCACAACUCGGAUCGGAAUGAUGUUGCUCAUCUGAAAGAAGGCAGCAUCAUGUGCUUGAAGACUUGU